rnacentral:rRNA from 1 species
AUGCCCAUGAAGUACUUGUCCAUCGAGGGGGCACAGGAGGUGCUUGGUGACAAGGUGUGCGUCGACCGCCUCGAUAGCCGCACGCUGGAGCGCGGCCACACCAAGACCUCUGGGUGCUGGUUCUGGGUGUGGGACAUGGCGUUCAUCCUGACCAGGCACACCUACUGGAAGCUUCCCCAUGGCGCGGGACGCGUCGAGGAGAUGGACGGCUUCUCGCCGCCGGAUCGCCGGGUGGCUCCUCCUCCGGGCGCGACACGGUACGAUCUUCUCAUCCACGUCGACCACAUUGAAGACUGGUUGCCAAGGUCGCCGCGCUCCUCACACUCGGACCUGGACCAUGCACGUCGAGGAUGGGUUGCACGAAGAGCAUCACAAGUGGUAGGCCCGUGCCCUGGUGGCGGACAUGGGCUGCCAUGGCAUGCCCCUUGGCGGUCCCAGGCGCGACCACGACAACGACAGAGCGGGUAG